rnacentral:rRNA from 1 species
CCUACGGGAGGCUGCAGUGAGGAAUAUUGGUCAAUGGCCGAUAGGCUGAACCAGCCAAGUCGCGUGAGGGAAGACGGCCCUACGGGUUGUAAACCUCUUUUGUCUGGGAGCAAAGCGAGUCACGUGUGACUCAUUGAGAGUACCCGAAGAAAAAGCAUCGGCUAACUCCGUGCCAGUAGCCGCGGUAAUACGGAGGAUGCGAGCGUUAUCCGGAUUUAUUGGGUUUAAAGGGUGCGCAGGCGGAGGUGCAAGUCAGCGGUCAAAUUGCGGGGCUCAACCCCGUACUGCCGUUGAAACUGGAUGCCUUGAGUGCGCGAGAAGUAUGCGGAAUGCGUGGUGUAGCGGUGAAAUGCAUAGAUAUCACGAAGAACUCCGAUUGCGAAGGCAGGAUACCGGCGCGCAACUGACGCUCAUGCACGAAAGCGUGGGUAUCGAACAGGAUUAGAUACCCCUGUAGUC